rnacentral:rRNA from 1 species
CGGCCGGCGCACGGGUGAGUAACACGUAUCCAACCUGCCGUCUACUCUUGGACAGCCUUCUGAAAGGAAGAUUAAUACAAGAUGGCAUCAUGAGUCCGCAUGUUCACAUGAUUAAAGGUAUUCCGGUAGACGAUGGGGAUGCGUUCCAUUAGAUAGUAGGCGGGGUAACGGCCCACCUAGUCUUCGAUGGAUAGGGGUUCUGAGAGGAAGGUCCCCCACAUUGGAACUGAGACACGGUCCAAACUCCUACGGGAGGCAGCAUG